CGGCAAGUAUGGGGAAAAAGAUUGACCCUGCGGUUGAUGAUAAUUACGAAGUUACCCCUCUCAUUUCCUUUGAGAGUGGGAUCCGGUCACUCCCGGUGAACCUGCCCAGAAUUGGAUCUCCAUUAAUAGAUCACCUGCAACAUCCUACCACAGAAGAAUAAUUCAAUCAAAAACCAUUAACCUCUUGUCUUCUUCAAGAACUUGCACAGUUUCCUUUGAUGAAGAACGAGGUUACCGUGAAAUAAUGGCAUCCAAGAAAAAAAAAAGCAUGAGUAACUGAGCCCCCCACCCCUUCUUCUCACUUGCCAAGGCAUUAAUGGCAUUCUUCAAUCCUCAUCAAGCCAUGGCUGUCAACAGUUCAGAAAGGACACUUUUAGCUCUCAAGGAGGAGCACCCAAGGCCUCGAAUCAUCAAACAUUCAACUCCUGCAAGCUAUUGUUUUCUGAGAACAAAUCAGUUCAUUCUAUGAUACACUUUCUCUGGGAAAAGGUGAGAUUUGAUAGCCUGUGUCAGUUAAUGGUUGGUUCACAUUAUGCUACCAUCUCAGCAGCUGUUGAGAAAGAACAUAUCCUGUGAUCGUAUGCACAGCUUCAAAGUGUUCUUUGAUUAUAGCCUUGCUUAGGAGAAUAUGGUACACCAAGGCACCUAAAUCUCCAUAUAGUCAUCUUAUCAGAACAGUCUUUGGUGCAAGUCAGCAGCUGCUGCUUAGGCAAACAUUUAACUAGAAGGUUUUGAUCCUCUUGGAGGGAAAUUAGAUGGGGAUGACUGAUGGAUCCCAAGAUCAUGAAAUUAUGAAUGAGUCAGCUGCAUCAUAUCACCCAUGCCUUGAGUUGCUGUUUUGAAUGAGAUGGAGACAAUGGCACAUGGAUUCCAGGAAGCCAUGCCAAACUUUAACUGUUCAUCAUUGUCAGAUCUAAGUUUGGUAGGUCAGUGCUUGGGAGCUCGGUUAGCUAAUAGCCACAGGUACCGAUUGUAAUGUCGCGUGGACCUCAUCUCCGGUUCUACCAGUGGUGGAAGUAUCAACAGCUACUUGGCAAAGCUGGGGGCCAAGGAGUUAUGUCGCAUUGAUCAUCCUGAGGCUCUUUCUUCUUCCCUUUCCCUUGUCUGUUGGUCGAGGAUUAAAAUGCUCGAGUACAUCCAGCAAGCAUGAGAAAGUUAGGUGCCUUGUUUUACCAUGCAGAGAUGAACAAGACAUCCAAGAUGAGUCCCACCAAAAGCUGCGUCUGUUGCUGAUGUUGUUGCCGCUGUGGCUGUUUCUGAUGUUGUUACAGCUCCUCCUUGCCAUCCUGUGGUCCUCAUCUACUGCCUUUUCAGCACCAUUUCCUCUAGAAGAAGCUUUGCCCUUCUGACCAUGAUCAUCACCAAAUCAUUUUUCUCGAGAACAGUACAUUCCCUAAUGUGUGGAAGAUAUGGAUCUACCAUAGUGUAGAAUUUUGUGUGAAAGUUAGCAGUUCCACACAUUAGGAGUUCCUAGAAUGUAUGUGACUUGUGGAGGAGAGUGGUUUGGAUGACUCCAGGAACAACUCAAAUGCAACAUGAUGUUUAUAAGCUUUCAGAACAGUUGCAAGAUUGUGACAAGGUGUGGCCAUAGAUACAAACUAGGGAUACUGUCUGUUGGGAGUAGCUUAAUUUGCCUUUGGCAUCUUUAAAGCCUGGUGUGAUCAUCAAUGAUAGUAAGGGACAUCAUCUUUAUCUUUAAAAAAAAUAAGUUUAUGAAAUAUAUUCUUGAUCAUGUUCA